rnacentral:rRNA from 1 species
UAAGGAAUAUUGGACAAUGCCCGCAAGGGUGAACCAGCCAUGCCGCGUGCAGGAAGACGGCCCUCUGGGUUGUAAACUGCUUUUAUUCGGGAAUAAACCUAUUUACGUGUAAAUAGCUGAAUGUACCGAAGGAAUAAGGAUCGGCUAACUCCGUGCCAGCAGCCGCGGUAAUACGGAGGUUCCAAGCGUUAUCCGGAUUUAUUGGGUUUAAAGGGUGCGUAGGCGGCUUAUUAAGUCAGUGGUGAAAGACGGUGGCUCAACCAUCGUAGUGCCCUUGAUACUGAUGAGCUUGAAUGGACUAGAGGUAGGCGGAAUGUGACAAGUAGCGGUGACAUGCAUAGAUAUGUCACAGAACACCGAUUGCGAAGGCAGCUUACUAUGGUUUAAUUGACGCUGAGGCACGAAAGCGUGGGGAUCAAACA